rnacentral:rRNA from 1 species
AAAUGAAUAGACGGGAGCCCGCACAAGCAGUGGAGUAUGUGGUUUAAUUCGAUGCAACGCGAAGAACCUUACCAGAACUUGACAUCCUGCGAACGGUCCCAUAAAAAGACCGGUGCCCUUCGGGGAAUGCAGAGACAGGUGGUGCAUGGUUGUCGUCAGCUCGUGUCGUGAGAUGUUGGGUUAAGUCCCGCAACGAGCGCAACCCUUACCUUUAGUUGCUACGCAAGAGCACUCUAGAGGGACUGCCGUUGAUAAAACGGAGGAAGGUGGGGAUGACGUCAAAUCAUCAUGCCCCUUACGUUCUGGGCUACACACGUACUACAAUGGCGCAAACAAAGAGAAGCGAAGUCGCGAGACGGAGCAAACCUCAAAAAAGGCGUCCCAGUUCAGACUGCAGGCUGCAACUCGCCUGCACGAAGUUGGAAUUGCUAGUAAUCGCAGAUCAGCAUGCUGCGGUGAAUACGUUCCCGGGCUUUGUACACACCGCCCGU